GACCGCUCAGAUGACCUACAAAAAGUGGUUAGAGCGUCAGCCUCGGAUGCAGAAGGUCGCGGAUUCGAAUCCCGUCCA